rnacentral:rRNA from 1 species
GGUUAAGCGACUAAGCGUACACGGUGGAUGCCCUGGCAGUCAGAGGCGAUGAAGGACGUGCUAAUCUGCGAAAAGCGUCGGUAAGGUGAUAUGAACCGUUACAGCCGGCGAUGUCCGAAUGGGGAAACCCAGUGCAAUUCGUUGCACUAUCGUUAACUGAAUACAUAGGUUAACGAGGCGAACCGGGGGAACUGAAACAUCUAAGUACCCCGAGGAAAAGAAAUCAACCGAGAUUCCCCCAGUAGCGGCGAGCGAACGGGGAGCAGCCCAGAGUCUGAAUCAGCUUGUGUGUUAGUGGAACGGUCUGGAAAGUCCGACGGUACAGGGUGAUAGUCCCGUACACCAAAAUGCACAGGUUGUGAACUCGAAGAGUAGGGCGGGACACGUGGUAUCCUGUCUGAAUAUGGGGGGACCAUCCUCCAAGGCUAAAUACUCCUGACUGACCGAUAGUGAACCAGUACCGUGAGGGAAAGGCGAAAAGAACCCCGGCGAGGGGAGUGAAAAAGAACCUGAAACCGUGUACGUACAAGCAGUGGGAGCACCUUCGGGUGUGACUGCGUACCUUUUGUAUAAUGGGUCAGCGACUUAUAUUCUGUAGCAAGGUUAACCGUAUAGGGGAGCCGCAGGGAAACCGAGUCUUAACUGGGCGUUAAGUUGCAGGGUAUAGACCCGAAACCCGGUGAUCUAGCCAUGGGCAGGUUGAAGGUUGGGUAACACUAACUGGAGGACCGAACCGACUAAUGUUGAAAAAUUAGCGGAUGACUUGUGGCUGGGGGUGAAAGGCCAAUCAAACCGGGAGAUAGCUGGUUCUCCCCGAAAGCUAUUUAGGUAGCGCCUCGUGAACUCAUCUUCGGGGGUAGAGCACUGUUUCGGCUAGGGGGUCAUCCCGACUUACCAACCCGAUGCAAACUACGAAUACCGAAGAAUGUUAUCACGGGAGACACACGGCGGGUGCUAACGUCCGUCGUGAAGAGGGAAACAACCCAGACCGCCAGCUAAGGUCCCAAAGUCAUGGUUAAGUGGGAAACGAUGUGGGAAGGCACAGACAGCCAGGAUGUUGGCUUAGAAGCAGCCAUCAUUUAAAGAAAGCGUAAUAGCUCACUGGUCGAGUCGGCCUGCGCGGAAGAUGUAACGGGGCUAAACCAUGCACCGAAGCUGCGGCAGCGACACUAUGUGUUGUUGGGUAGGGGAGCGUUCUGUAAGCCUGCGAAGGUGUGCUGUGAGGCAUGCUGGAGGUAUCAGAAGUGCGAAUGCUGACAUAAGUAACGAUAAAGCGGGUGAAAAGCCCGCUCGCCGGAAGACCAAGGGUUCCUGUCCAACGUUAAUCGGGGCAGGGUGAGUCGACCCCUAAGGCGAGGCCGAAAGGCGUAGUCGAUGGGAAACAGGUUAAUAUUCCUGUACUUGGUGUUACUGCGAAGGGGGGACGGAGAAGGCUAUGUUAGCCGGGCGACGGUUGUCCCGGUUUAAGCAUGUAGGCUGGUUAUCCAGGCAAAUCCGGAUAAUCAAGGCUGAGGUGUGAUGACGAGGCACUACGGUGCUGAAGUAACAAAUGCCCUGCUUCCAGGAAAAGCCUCUAAGCAUCAGGUAACAUCAAAUCGUACCCCAAACCGACACAGGUGGUCAGGUAGAGAAUACCAAGGCGCUUGAGAGAACUCGGGUGAAGGAACUAGGCAAAAUGGUGCCGUAACUUCGGGAGAAGGCACGCUGGUGUGUAGGUGAAGUCCCUGCGGAUGGAGCUGAGACCAGUCGAAGAUACCAGCUGGCUGCAACUGUUUAUUAAAAACACAGCAC